GACAGAGGGUGCAAACGUUGUUCGGAUUUACUGGGCGUAAAGGGCGCGCAGGCGGCUGCUCAAGUCAGGCGUGAAGGGCCUGGGCUCAACCCGGGAAUUGCGCUUGAGACUGGGCUGGCUUGAGUGCGGGAGAGGAUGGUGGAAUUCCCAGUGUAGAGGUGAAAUUCGUAGAUAUUGGGAAGAACACCGGUGGCGAAGGCGGCCAUCUGGACCGCAACUGACGCUGAGGCGCGAAAGCGUGGGUAGCAAACAGG
rnacentral:rRNA from 1 species